rnacentral:rRNA from 1 species
CGGAAGGCAGCAGUGAGGAAUAUUGGUCAAUGGACGAGAGUCUGAACCAGCCAAGUAGCGUGCAGGAUGACGGCCCUAUGGGUUGUAAACUGCUUUUGUACGGGAAUAAAGUCAUCCACGUGUGGAUGUUUGCAUGUACCGUAAGAAUAAGGACCGGCUAAUUUCGUGCCAGCAGCCGCGGUAAUACGGAAGGUCCGGGCGGUAUCCGGAUUUAUUGGGUUUAAAGGGAGCGUAGGCCGUGCUUUAAGCGUGUUGUGAAAUGUAGGCGCCCAACGUCUGCACUGCAGCGCGAACUGGAGCACUUGAGUACGCAGGAAGUAGGCGGAAUUCGUCGUGUAGCGGUGAAAUGCCUAGAUAUGACGAAGGACUCCGAUUGGGAAGCCAGCUUACUGUAGCGCCACUGACGCUGAUGCUCGAAAGCGUGGGUAUCGAACAGGAUUAGAUACCCUGGUA